rnacentral:rRNA from 1 species
UACGAAGGGGGCGAGCGUUGUUCGGAUUUACUGGGCGUAAAGGGCGCGCAGGCGGCGAUCUUUGUCAGGCGUGAAAGCCCCGGGCUCGACCUGGGAACUGCAUUUGUGACUGUAGAGCUGGAGUGCGGCAGAGGGGGGUGGAAUUCCGCGUGUAGCAGUGAAAUGCGUAGAGAUGCGGAGGAACACCGAUGGCGAAGGCAGCCCCCCUGGGCUAACACUGACGCUCAGGCACGAAAGCGUGGGGAGCAAACAGG